AUUGAACGCUGGCGGCAGGCCUAACACAUGCAAGUCGAGCGGAUGAAGGGAGCUUGCUCCUGGAUUCAGCGGCGGACGGGUGAGUAAUGCCUAGGAAUCUGCCUGGUAGUGGGGGAUAACGUCCGGAAACGGGCGCUAAUACCGCAUACGUCCUGAGGGAGAAAGUGGGGGAUCUUCGGGCCUCACGCUAUCAGAUGAGCCUAGGUCGGAUUAGCUAGUUGGUGGGGUAAAGGCCUACCAAGGCGACGAUCCGUAACUGGUCUGAGAGGAUGAUCAGUCGCACUGGAACUGAGACACGGUCCAGACUCCUACGGGAGGCAGCAGUGGGGAAUAUUGGACAAUGGGCGAAAGCCUGAUCCAGCCAUGCCGCGUGUGUGAAGAAGGUCUUCGGAUUGUAAAGCACUUUAAGUUGGGAGGAAGGGCAGUAAGUUAAUACCUUGCUGUUUUGACGUUACCAACAGAAUAAGCACCGGCUAACUUCGUG
rnacentral:rRNA from 1 species